UACGUAGGGGGCUAGCGUUGUCCGGAUUUAUUGGGCGUAAAGAGCGUGUAGGCGGCCAAGUAGGUCCGGUGUGAAAACUCGAGGCUUAACCUCGAGAUGUCAUCGGAAACCAUUUGGCUAGAGUCCGGAAGAGGAAAGUGGAAUUCCUGGUGUAGCGGUGAAAUGCGCAGAUAUCAGGAAGAACACCGGUGGCGAAAGCGCUCUGCUAGGCCGCAACUGACACUGAGGGACGAAAGCUAGGGGAGCGAAUGGG
rnacentral:rRNA from 1 species